rnacentral:sRNA from 1 species
UGCCUAACCCUUACGGCUUUGCUGUAAGGUAUGGCAAUAAAAAACCCACUACAGGAUAGAAAACUCGUCGUCAGAGCACCUGUAGUGGGUCGUAUCCCGAAAGGGGUAUGGGCGGUCGUAAGACCGUC